rnacentral:rRNA from 1 species
UACGUAGGGGGCAAGCGUUAUCCGGAUUCACUGGGCGUAAAGGGAGCGCAGGCGGCAUGGCAAGUCUGUUGUGAAAACCCGGGGCCCAACCCCGGGAGUGCAUUGGAAACUGCCAGGCUGGAGUGUCGGAGGGGUAAGCGGAAUUCCUAGUGUAGCGGUGAAAUGCGUAGAUAUUAGGAGGAACACCAGUGGCGAAGGCGGCUUACUGGACGACUACUGACGCUGAGGCUCGAAAGCGUGGGGAGCAAACAGG